UAGUCCACGCUGUAAACGAUGAUUACUCGUUGUUGGCGAUACACAGUCAGCGACUGAACGAAAGUAUUAAGUAAUCCACCUGGGGAGUACGGUCGCAAGAUUGAAACUCAAAGGAAUUGACGGGGGCCCGCACAAGCGGAGGAGCAUGUGGUUUAAUUCGAUGAUACGCGAGGAACCUUACCUAGGCUCAAAUGCAUAACGAUCGUCCGGGAAACCGGUCUUCUCUUCGGAGCGUUUUGCAAGGUGCUGCAUGGUUGUCGUCAGCUCGUGCCGUGAGGUGUCGGGUUAAGUCCCAUAACGAGCGCAACCCCUAUUCUUAGUUGCCAUCAGGUAAUGCUGGGGACUCUAAGAAAACUGCCUACGCAAGUAGUGAGGAAGGUGGGGAUGACGUCAAAUCAGCACGGCCCUUAUAUCUAGGGCUACACACGUGCUACAAUGGUCAGUACAGAGGGAAGCUACCUGGUGACAGGAUGCUAAUCUCGAAAACUGGUCUCAGUUCGGAUCG
rnacentral:rRNA from 1 species